rnacentral:rRNA from 3 species
UGCAGAAUCCCGUGAACCAUCGAGUCUUUGAACGCAAGUUGCGCCCGAAGCCUCGGCUGAGGGCACGUCUGCCUGGGUGUCA